GACGAACGCUGGCGGCGUGCUUAACACAUGCAAGUCGAACGGAAAGGCCCUGCUUUUGUGGGGUGCUCGAGUGGCGAACGGGUGAGUAACACGCGAGUAACCUGCCCUUGACUUUGGGAUAACUUCAGGAAACUGGGGCUAAUACCGGAUAGGAGCUCCUGCUGCAUGGUGGGGGUUGGAAAGUUUCGGCGGUUGGGGAUGGACUCGCGGCUUAUCAGCUUGUUGGUGGGGUAGUGGCUUACCAAGGCUUUGACGGGUAGCCGGCCUGAGAGGGUGACCGGCCACAUUGGGACUGAGAUACGGCCCAGACUCCUACGGGAGGCAGCAGUGGGGAAUAUUGCACAAUGGGCGGAAGCCUGAUGCAGCAACGCCGCGUGCGGGAUGACGGCCUUCGGGUUGUAAACCGCUUUCGCCUGUGACGAAGCGUGAGUGACGAUAAUGGGUAAAGAAGCACCGGCUAACUACGUGCCAGCAGCCGCGGUGAUACGUAGGGUGCGAGCGUUGUCCGGAUUUAUUGGGCGUAAAGGGCUCGUAGGUGGUUGAUCGCGUCGGAAGUGUAAUCUUGGGGCUUAACCCUGAGCGUGCUUUCGAUACGGGUUGACUUGAGGAAUUUAGGGGAGAAUGGAAUUCCUGGUGGAGCGGUGGAAUGCGCAGAUAUCAGGAGGAACACCAGUGGCGAAGGCGGUUCUCUGGGCCUUUCCUGACGCUGAGGAGCGAAAGCGUGGGGAGCGAACAGGCUUAGAUACCCUGGUAGUCCACGCUGUAAACGGUGGGUACUAGGUGUGGGGUCCAUUCCACGGGUUCCGUGCCGUAGCUAACGCUUUAAGUACCCCGCCUGGGGAGUACGGCCGCAAGGCUAAAACUCAAAGGAAUUGACGGGGCCCCGCACAAGCGGCGGAGCAUGCGGAUUAAUUCGAUGCAACGCGUAGAACCUUACCUGGGUUUGACAUGGAUCGGGAGUGCUCAGAGAUGGGUGUGCCUCUUUUGGGGUCGGUUCACAGGUGGUGCAUGGCUGUCGUCAGCUCGUGUCGUGAGAUGUUGGGUUAAGUCCCGCAACGAGCGCAACCCUUGUUCACUGUUGCCAGCACGUUAUGGUGGGGACUCAGUGGAGACCGCCGGGGUCAACUCGGAGGAAGGUGGGGAUGACGUCAAGUCAUCAUGCCCCUUAUGUCCAGGGCUUCACGCAUGCUACAAUGGCUGGUACAGAGAGUGGCGAGCCUGUGAGGGUGAGCGAAUCUCGGAAAGCCGGUCUCAGUUCGGAUUGGGGUCUGUAACUCGACCUCAUGAAGUCGGAGUCGCUAGUAAUCGCAGAUCAGCAACGCUGCGGUGAAUACGUUCCCGGG
rnacentral:rRNA from 1 species